CCAGGAGUCAAUUUCCUGGUUCUCCAGCUUGCCGUUGGCAGAUCUUGGAACUUGUAGGCCUCUAUAAUUGUCAAACAGAACUUUCCAGAAGCUCCUCCCGCAGAGUCCUCUAUGCAAACACUAAUGAAGCCACCACCUUGCUGAGAAGACUUGCCCUCGAUCCCUCCUGCUCACACGAUCAAUCGUGCCUUACUCACGAAGCCUCAGGGCUGCAUGGUGCCAAGCUCGGGCACUCAUCUGCCUGCCUGUCCCAGGCCUGUGGGCUGUGUGUCACCUGUGCUAAGGCCCUGGGCUCAGAGAGCUUCCAUCCGAGCUGGAAGCAACACUGCAGAGAAGCUAAAUAGCCCACCCCAGCCUCUGCCGGGGACCCAGGAGGAAGCAGUAACGGCGAGGUGUGCAGCCACGGGGGCUGGUGAGGGUCAAGUUUCAGGUGAAAUCACUAGACAAGAAAUAUCAUUCAGACUGCCUAGGGCUGUGUUCUGAAGCUACAGAGGUACCUUGAUGUCAGGAAGAAUAGCAAUGGCAGAAAAUGUUUCAUCUUGCAUGCCAGCACAGACCAAUGGCAAUGGAUGUCUGAAUCACUGGGUUAACAAGGAAAAGAAUGCUGUGCUUAAGUAGCAAUGUCUGCUCUGAGCAUGGCAGGAGAAAUUAUUGGCACCUCUGUCAGAUAUUUGAUAUCUAUUUCUUAAAUAGAAUACAUACAUAUUCUAAGAACAAGAAAAGCAUAAACAAAUUAAUAAAUUACUUUCUGACUUCUAAACCA
rnacentral:lncRNA from 10 species